UUUAAUAGUGUGUAAGAUUUGUGAGAAGUCUUAUAAGUGAAGUUGAGAGUGAUCAAAGAGUGAAUUCACUAUUUUACUCACAAAGAAGGUAUUUUGGGAUUCUAAGGCAGCAAUACCUUCUUAUUGAUUUUGAGAGUUCUAUCUUCUCUUUUCUUGAUUUUCUUUGAUAAAUCCCUUCUUUAGACAUGGCUUCAAGUAAGGAUGAGGGUUUGAGAGUGAUUGAGAAGUUUAGAG
rnacentral:lncRNA from 1 species